rnacentral:rRNA from 1 species
UACAGAGGUCUCAAGCGUUGUUCGGAUUCAUGGGGCGUAAAGGGUGCGUAGGCGGCGCGGUAAGUCGGGUGUGAAAUCUCGGAGCUUAACUCCGAAACUGCAUUCGAUACUGCCGUGCUUGAGGACUGGAGAGGAGACUGGAAUUUACGGUGUAGCGGUGAAAUGCGUAGAUAUCAGGAGGAACACCGGUGGCGAAGGCGGUUCUCUGGGCAUGUCCUGACGCUGAGGAGCGAAAGCGUGGGGAGCGAACAGG